UUGAACGCUGGCGGCAUGCUUUACACAUGCAAGUCGAACGGCAGCGCGGGCUUCGGCCUGGCGGCGAGUGGCGAACGGGUGAGUAAUGCAUCGGAACGUGCCCAGUAGUGGGGGAUAGCCCGGCGAAAGCCGGAUUAAUACCGCAUACGACCUGAGGGUGAAAGCGGGGGACCGAAAGGCCUCGCGCUAUUGGAGCGGCCGAUGUCGGAUUAGCUAGUUGGUGGGGUAAAGGCUUACCAAGGCGACGAUCCGUAGCUGGUCUGAGAGGACGACCAGCCACACUGGGGCUGAGACACGGCCCAGACUCCUACGGGAGGCAGCAGUGGGGAAUUUUGGACAAAGGGGGCAACCCUGAUCCAGCCAUGCCGCGUGCGGGAAGAAGGCCUUCGGGUUGUAAACCGCUUUUGUUCGGGAAGAAAUCCUCUGGGCUAAUACCCCGGGGGGAUGACGGUACCGGAAGAAUAAGCACCGGCUAACUACGUG
rnacentral:rRNA from 1 species